rnacentral:rRNA from 1 species
AGUGAACGCUGGCGGUAGGCCUAACACAUGCAAGUCGAACGGCAGCACAGUAAGAGCUUGCUCUUACGGGUGGCGAGUGGCGGACGGGUGAGGAAUACAUCGGAAUCUACUUUUUCGUGGGGGAUAACGUAGGGAAACUUACGCUAAUACCGCAUACGACCUACGGGUGAAAGCAGGGGAUCUUCGGACCUUGCGCGAUUGAAUGAGCCGAUGUCGGAUUAGCUAGUUGGCGGGGUAAAGGCCCACCAAGGCGACGUUCCGUAGCUGGUCUGAGAGGAUGAUCAGCCACACUGGAACUGAGACACGGUCCAGACUCCUACGGGAGGCAGCAGUGGGGAAUAUUGGACAAUGGGCGCAAGCCUGAUCCAGCCAUACCGCGUGGGUGAAGAAGGCCUUCGGGUUGUAAAGCCCUUUUGUUGGGAAAGAAAAGCAGCAGGUUAAUACCCCGCUGUUCUGACGGUACCCAAAGAAUAAGCACCGGCUAACUUCGU